UACGUAGGUGGCAAGCGUUGUCCGGAUUUACUGGGCGUAAAGGAUGCGUAGGCGGACAUUUAAGUCAGAUGUGAAAUACCCGAGCUUAACUUGGGUGCUGCAUUUGAAACUGGGUGUCUAGAGUGCAGGAGGAGGUAAGUGGAAUUCCUAGUGUAGCGGUGAAAUGCGUAGAGAUUAGGAAGAACACCAGUGGCGAAGGCGACUUACUGGACUGUAACUGACGCUGAGGCAUGAAAGCGUGGGGAGCAAACAGG
rnacentral:rRNA from 1 species